rnacentral:rRNA from 1 species
GAGUUUGAUCCUGGCUCAGGAUAAACGCUAGCGGCAGGCCUUACACAUGCAAGUCGAGGGGUAGAACGUCUUCGGAUGUUUGAGACUGGCGCACGGGUGCGUAACACGUAUGCAACCUACCUUUUACUGGGGAAUAGCCCGAAGAAAUUCGGAUUAAUGCCCCAUAUGCUCGCACAAUCGCAUGAUUGAGCGAGGAAAGCUCCGGCGGUAAAAGAUGGGCAUGUGUCCUAUUAGCUUGUUGGUGAGGUAAUGGCUCACCAAGGCUACGAUAGGUAGGGGACCUGAGAGGGUGAACCCCCACACUGGUACUGAGACACGGACCAGACUCCUACGGGAGGCAGCAGUGAGGAAUAUUGGGCAAUGGAGGAAACUCUGACCCAGCCAUGCCGCGUGCAGGAAGACGGCCCUCUGGGUUGUAAACUGCUUUUAUAUGGGAAUAAACCCUUCCACGUGUGGAAGGCUGAAGGUACCAUACGAAUAAGGAUCGGCUAACUCCGUGCCAGCAGCCGCGGUAAUACGGAGGAUCCAAGCGUUAUCCGGAUUUAUUGGGUUUAAAGGGUCCGUAGGCGGGUCUUUAAGUCAGUGGUGAAAGCCUGCAGCUUAACUGUAGAAUUGCCAUUGAUACUGAAGACCUUGAGUGUAGUAGAAGUAGGCGGAAUAUGGCAUGUAGCGGUGAAAUGCAUAGAUAUGCCAUAGAACACCGAUUGCGAAGGCAGCUUACUAUGUUACAACUGACGCUGAGGGACGAAAGCGUGGGUAGCAAACAGGAUUAGAUACCCUGGUAGUCCACGCCGUAAACGAUGAUUACUCGCUGUUAGCGAUAUACAGUUAGCGGCCAAGCGAAAGACAAUUUUCAAGGUGCUGCAUGGUUGUCGUCAGCUCGUGCCGUGAGGUGUUGGGUUAAGUCCCGCAACGAGCGCAACCCCUACUGUUAGUUGCCAGCGGAUAAUGCCGGGGACUCUAGCAGAACUGCCAGCGCAAGCUGAGAGGAAGGUGGGGACGACGUCAAAUCAUCACGGCCCUUACAUCCUGGGCCACACACGUGCUACAAUGGUAGUGACAGAGGGCAGCCACUGGGUAACCAGGAGCGAAUCCCUUAAACACUAUCUCAGUUCGGAUCGAAGUCUGCAACUCGACUUCGUGAAGCUGGAAUCGCUAGUAAUCGCGCAUCAGCCAUGGCGCGGUGAAUACGUUCCCGGGCCUUGUACACACCGCCCGUCAAGCCAUGGAAGCUGGGAGUGCCUGAAGUCGGUAACCGCAAGGAGCUGCCUAGGGUAAAACUAGUAACUAGGGCUAAGUCGUAACAAGGUAGCCGUACCGGAAGGUGUGGCUGGAUCACCUCCUUUCU